AGAGACAGCAGUACCACGGUAAUACAGAGGAUGCAAGCGUUAUCCGGAAUGAUUGGGCGUAAAGCGUCUGUAGGUGGCUUUUCAAGUCCGCCGUCAAAUCCCAGGGCUCAACCCUGGACAGGCGGUGGAAACUACCAAGCUGGAGUACGGUAGGGGCAGAGGGAAUUUCCGAUGGAGCGGUGAAAUGCGUUGAGAUCGGAAGGAACACCAACGGCGAAAGCACUCUGCUGGGCCGACGUUGACACUGAGAGACAAACGCUAGGGGAGAAAAUGGGAUUAGAUACCCCUGUAGUCCCUGUCUCUUAUACC
rnacentral:rRNA from 1 species